rnacentral:snRNA from 1 species
AUCGCUUCUCUGCCUUUUGGCUAAGAUCAAGUGUAGUACUAAGCCUUUUGGCUAGGUACCCCUUCUUAUGAUGUUCUGUGAAGAAGGAGAAACACUUGGUCCUCUGGCCGGUUAAGAUCAAGUGUAGUACUGGGCCUUUUGGCUAGAUAUCCGUUCUGUUAAUCUUCU